CCAAAUUUAAACAUUUUUUCAACGCAUUUUAUUACAACCUUUGAUAGAAGGUAUCUCAAAAUUUCCAACCCUUGAAAUAAAGUUCAAAAUUAAAAUACAAAAGGAAGUCUCUUUUUUUUUUUCAUGCUCCACACUCAGAAACCGCUCACACAGUCAGAAAAUUCUCUCAAAAUUGGAGCUCAAAUCAGAAAAUUCUCUCAAAAUCGAUCUGACCUCCUCUCAGAAAACUCAAAGAUUAGAGCUCAUCUUAUCUCCGACCGGCUGAUUUGCGGUGGUCAGCUAUCUCAUCUCUGACAGCGAGCGAGCCGUUGAUAGCUGUCUCUCUCUGUUUGUUUCCUGAGAAAUUAUGGAAAUUACACUUAUAUCAAAUUCUUCUAGGAAAAGAAUGAUGGCAAAUUAAUAGCUGUUCUGGUAAGUGUUUCAUUGCUUUUAUGUGUACCUUUUGGUUUAUUGUAUUAAUGUGUUUCAAUGAGUUUAGCAAGAUUGUGUUGUAGAGUCUACUGGUGUUGAGUUCUCCUACAUUGUGAUCUUUCAUGGGGGGAGGUAUUUGGCUAUGUCUUGACUGUGCUUACAUCUAGACGUUUGCUUAUAUAACUGCCUUUGUUUACUGAUGUAUCAAUGACAUUGUUUAAAAUUAGCACUAUGGUGAUGGGCAUUAUGUUUUGAAAUGAAUGAAAAAAGUGCCUCACUAUGUCAAAUGGAAUAGGAAAUUGGGAAUCAAACCCAGUUGUCUUACAUUGUACUGUUUAUGUGUAGCCACGCCUAUUUGUGUGUGCACAUUUGGAAAAAGAAUGGUAGCAGAUUCGUUUUAAUUGAUUACUCUAACUUGUAAAUGAGAUCUAGUGACUCUGAAUAUAUACCUUUUCAUUAGCCACUACUGAUGUUUAAUAUUUUUUGUAACAUUAGUAGUUUCAAUAUAUUUGGAAAUAAGACUUGAUGCUAUUAAUGAAUGAGUGUUUUUAAAUUCACGAUUAUUUCUGCUUCAUACCAUUUUCUCUUUUAAUAGGCAAAUAUCAUUAAUCUUUUCGGAUGAUAAAACGCCCUCAUUAUGAACUAAAUUUUAAUUGUCUUGAUAAAGGCAUGUAAUGUGAUUUUCUGUAGCACUUUUGUGUUGAAUGCAUACCUUUUGUUUCUUUCUUCAGAUUUGGCUCUAACAAGUUUUUUAGAUCACUUAUGCUUUUUUGUUUUUGGUUGUUGCAGACAUCAUCUUUCUUUCUUCACAUUUUUAAGGUUUAGUUUACAGAGAAAAGAAUACAGAUUGGAGGGAAGCAACCUUCUAGUUUAUUUCUUGCUUCUAUAUCUAUUCUUCUCAGUGAGCAGGUGCCUUUUGCAAAGGACUUGGCAGUGGUGCACCGUGUGCUUCUUAUCAGCUUGCUGUUUCUAUUAGCCAAAAUUGCGCAGAAAAGCUUGGGCCAUUUAUUUUGUGCUCCUCAGAUGCAAUGUUUAUACAAUGUGCUUGUCUCCAAUUCAAUGAAAUGAAGCAUACACAUCAGAAGAGGCUGUUGAAGAGCUGUUGCAAGUUCUUUCCAUAAAGUCAUUGACGAAGUUGGAAGGUUGAGUUUUUUGACAUUGUCAUUGAGAAGUUAUUUUGUACUAUUUUUGGCCAAAUAAGGUUAAAUUAGUUGUCAUAAUCCUUCUUUUUUUCCCCUUUAAUUCAAAAUGUACAUUCUAGAAACUCAACUCAAUAAUUCUUUUGUCCCAAUUCUUUUGGGUUGCCUACAUAAAUUCUG